rnacentral:rRNA from 1 species
UUGAAGAGUUUGAUCAUGGCUCAGAUUGAACGCUGGCGGCAGGCCUAACACAUGCAAGUCGAACGGUAACAGGAAACAGCUUGCUGUUUCGCUGACGAGUGGCGGACGGGUGAGUAAUGUCUGGGAAACUGCCUGAUGGGAGGGGGAUAACUACUGGAAACGGUAGCUAAUACCGCAUAACGUCGCAAGACCAAAGAGGGGGACCUUCGGGCCUCUUGCCAUCGGAUGUGCCCAGAUGGGAUUAGCUUGUUGGUGGGGUAACGGCUCACCAAGGCGACGAUCCCUAGCUGGUCUGAGAGGAUGACCAGCCACACUGGAACUGAGACACGGUCCAGACUCCUACGGGAGGCAGCAGUGGGGAAUAUUGCACAAUGGGCGCAAGCCUGAUGCAGCCAUGCCGCGUGUAUGAAGAAGGCCUUCGGGUUGUAAAGUACUUUCAGCGGGGAGGAAGGGAGUAAAGUUAAUACCUUUGCUCAUUGACGUUACCCGCAGAAGAAGCACCGGCUAACUCCGUGCCAGCAGCCGCGGUAAUACGGAGGGUGCAAGCGUUAAUCGGAAUUACUGGGCGUAAAGCGCACGCAGGCGGUUUGUUAAGUCAGAUGUGAAAUCCCCGGGCUCAACCUGGGAACUGCAUCUGAUACUGGCAAGCUUGAGUCUCGUAGAGGGGGGUAGAAUUCCAGGUGUAGCGGUGAAAUGCGUAGAGAUCUGGAGGAAUACCGGUGGCGAAGGCGGCCCCCUGGACGAAGACUGACGCUCAGGUGCGAAAGCGUGGGGAGCAAACAGGAUUAGAUACCCUGGUAGUCCACGCCGUAAACGAUGUCGACUUGGAGGUUGUGCCCUUGAGGCGUGGCUUCCGGAGCUAACGCGUUAAGUCGACCGCCUGGGGAGUACGGCCGCAAGGUUAAAACUCAAAUGAAUUGACGGGGGCCCGCACAAGCGGUGGAGCAUGUGGUUUAAUUCGAUGCAACGCGAAGAACCUUACCUGGUCUUGACAUCCACGGAAGUUUUCAGAGAUGAGAAUGUGCCUUCGGGAACCGUGAGACAGGUGCUGCAUGGCUGUCGUCAGCUCGUGUUGUGAAAUGUUGGGUUAAGUCCCGCAACGAGCGCAACCCUUAUCCUUUGUUGCCAGCGGUCCGGCCGGGAACUCAAAGGAGACUGCCAGUGAUAAACUGGAGGAAGGUGGGGAUGACGUCAAGUCAUCAUGGCCCUUACGACCAGGGCUACACACGUGCUACAAUGGCGCAUACAAAGAGAAGCGACCUCGCGAGAGCAAGCGGACCUCAUAAAGUGCGUCGUAGUCCGGAUUGGAGUCUGCAACUCGACUCCAUGAAGUCGGAAUCGCUAGUAAUCGUGGAUCAGAAUGCCACGGUGAAUACGUUCCCGGGCCUUGUACACACCGCCCGUCACACCAUGGGAGUGGGUUGCAAAAGAAGUAGGUAGCUUAACCUUCGGGAGGGCGCUUACCACUUUGUGAUUCAUGACUGGGGUGAAGUCGUAACAAGGUAACCGUAGGGGAACCUGCGGUUGGAUCACCUCCUU